AUGGGGGGGGGGGGGAACCCGCCGGCAUUUGGCUAAAUAUGCUAAUCACGGACGGAUUUUGAUUAUAAAGUUCGUUGCUCCAUCCCUCUUCCGCUCUUACUGGGAGAGCGGGUAAUUGUUCUUACCAGUCUGGGUAAAUGAGCCCGGCUUAAUGCGUCACCCAUCAUGCUCGGUGCUGAAGAAGGAAAAACUUACUUAUGCUUUCGUCGAAGUUUACUCACAAGCGUUUAAGACAAAAGUGGCAUUACAUACAGUGGCAAUAAGGGCUAGGGACCAAAAAGCUUGGCAACAAAUAGAAACCAAACCGUUUUUUGCUCUCCCUCCCAUUGCACACUUUUCAUCGGCGCUUUUACUCACCGCGCGGAGGUCGCGAAUUCGAUCAAACUAAUUAUUGUUCGCAUACUGUAUGAAAAAGAUGCCCAUUUUGUGCGCAAGCACUAACUGGAAAGUAGGGCAACGGGAAAUGCAUAACGCAAGCUAAAGAAAAAGGGAAAACGAACGUUCACUUUCGGCGAGUUUUCUUUUUAGAAUGAUAAAGCUUACGAGCGUACGAAUGAGGGGGAAGCAACACAACAUACCGCCUGUUACGACACCGCUUUCGUCGGCGUUUCUGCCUGUGCCGCUGCCGCCACCAACGCCGAUGUCUGAACUCCCUCCCGAUUGGGAAGAAAGUUUAAAAUCAUCAACAGCAGAAGAAGAUCCUCCUUUCCAACAAAACUGAGCGCCGCUUGGUUUGCGUGCCAGCCAGCCAGCAUGUGUGGCUUUUUAAUGUGUUAAUCAAUUGCCUUAUUAAUUCAUUAUUUCCUCCCCACCCCGGCCAGCGGAAUCGCAAUCGCUUUCUGGACGCCACAAAACACAGACACAGACGAAUGGACACCGCUGCCGCCGUAUGGAAAAUGUAUAGGCAGGCAGGCAGACAAGCGACGAGCCGACCAGUUCGGCGUAUUGCUUAUUUUGCAAUUGGUGGAUUUGAAAAUUCACUUUCUCUAAUGAAGAAAAACUUUCCAUUUCCAUCGCCCGAUGCAUCCGUGUGGCGAUGUAACAACGCACGCUCGCGCUCAUUUGUCUAACUCUGCCUUUUCGUAAUGAGGCGCCACGUGGCUUAGAACACUGAAGUUGUUACUUACCCGCUGCCAAACUGCAUCGAUCCGCGCGGCGCACGUACGGCCAUGCCCGGUCAUCCAAUCGAUUGCCGUGCGGCAAUAGAGGUGACAGGUGUGCAGCAGGAUCAAGAAAUGAUCCAUAAAACCGGCCAUCGCGUUGGCGAUCGAGGUUGUUUUGAUGAAGCUUCAAUCAAACUGUCUCUUUGGGAUUGACUCGAAGCACAGUGGCACCUUUAAACACACUUCAAUGGCACAACCGUCGCGCAGCAGAACACCACACACACGCUCAUCACUCCGUCAUCGGUAUGCUACCAGCGAGCGACUGAAGGGACUAACGCCGGACCAAGCAAAUCACAGGGCAGCAAUGACCGCAGGCGCGAGCAAACACACAAAAGCAUAAGCACAUGCUUCCCUUUACCGUUUGUAGCCACCAGCCGUCCAGAACCCUCGGUGCGUGUGUAUGAGUGUGUGUAUAGUUGUACGCCACCGGUAGGCCGUUUUGUGUUUCAAAUGGUGUUUGUCGGACGGAACGGAAUCAUCCAAUUCGCUUCACACCGGAAGGGAGCGUGAUGGGGUGGCGCACAUCCGUCCGGGAGCGGGAGCGAAGUUGUGCCGAGCCUGAAACUGGUAAAACGUAAGGAACCGGCCGCGAAACCCCGAGUUCUAAGGGCACACCUUGCCCGGGCGGUAGCAGUCGUGUGUUUCUUUCUUUCGCCCUUCGGCUGAAACCAAUCUAGAAACGAUAUGCGAGCGGCCAAUGAAGGUUACUGUCGGCCGCAGACACUUAAAGGAUGUAAGAAAUAGUCACGCCGGUAUCGUUUGUCGCCUUGGAGGUCAUUCAAUGGAUGGUGUUACGGUAAGAGCCGAUUGUCUAACUUAUCUACUUAAUCCACUACUUAAGCCAAACUACACUUCAGCAGCACCGUAUCGUCCACCCCGUUCGCAUCCGUAUCGAGCGGACAGUCGUAGUAAUAGAACAGCUCGUGGUUCCACUUGGUAAACGCAAUGUAAUCCAGAUCCAACCGUUGCCGGUUGUCGUUAAACUCCAAAAACGGUCGCUUCUCGCCAUCCUUCGUCAGCAGCACGUUACCAUUAUCGAACACUUCGAGCCGAAACAUCAUCGGUCGCGUUUUGGACAGCACAUUCGGUGUCAGCUGAAUCUUGAGCGGCGUAUUCACGUACUCACUGUUGCUGGUGCGCGUGUGACGAUUAACUUCCGAGUUUUGAUUCGCCCAGCCGGAAAGACCUGGAAGGAUUUGCAGGAUUCCAAAUCCGGAUCUGAUUACGAUUUCUGAGCCAAUUCCGAUUCCGGAGCUGAUUCUGAUU